UGGGGAAUAUUGGACAAUGGGCGCAAGCCUGAUCCAGCAAUGCCGCGUGAGUGAAGAAGGUCUUCGGAUUGUAAAGCUCUUUCGACGGGGACGAUGAUGACGGUACCCGUAGAAGAAGCCCCGGCCAACUACGUGCCAGCAGCCGCGGUAACACGUAGGGGGCGAGCGUUGUCCGGAAUCAUUGGGCGUAAAGAGCUCGUAGGCGGCUCAGUAAGUCGGGUGUGAAACCCCCAGGCUCAACCUGGGGACGCCACCCGAUACUGCUGUGGCUAGAGUCCAGUAGGGGAGUGUGGAAUUCCCGGUGUAGCGGUGAAAUGCGCAGAUAUCGGGAGGAACACCAGCGGCGAAGGCGGCACUCUGGGCUGGAACUGACGCUGAGGAGCGAAAGCGUGGGUAGCAAAC
rnacentral:rRNA from 1 species